UACGAAGGGGGCUAGCGUUGCUCGGAAUCACUGGGCGUAAAGGGUGCGUAGGCGGGUUUUUAAGUCAGGGGUGAAAUCCUGGAGCUCAACUCCAGAACUGCCUUUGAUACUGAAGAUCUUGAGUCCGGGAGAGGUGAGUGGAACUGCGAGUGUAGAGGUGAAAUUCGUAGAUAUUCGCAAGAACACCAGUGGAGAAGGCGGCUCACUGGCCCGGUACUGACGCUGAGGCACGAAAGCGUGGGGAGCAAACAGG
rnacentral:rRNA from 1 species